GGGUGAGGUGGGGGAACUGCCAAUCAGGCUAUGGAAAUCAGCCCUCUCCCACCAUGUGGGCCCCAGGAAUCAGGCUCAGAUUGUCAGGCUUCCCGGGUCUUUAUUCAGCCAUUUGUCAGGAUCUCCACCUCGGUUUUUGAAACAGGGUGUCUUGCUGUAUCUGAAGUUCCUGGACGGGCUACAUGGGUUGGCCCUUGAGUUCUCGGGGUUCGCCUACUCUCUCCCUGCUGGGGCUGUUACUGACACACACCACCAUGCUGAUCUCGGGGAACAGAACUUAGCUCCUCAUGCUUUUAUGGCGAACACUUUAUCCACUGAGCCGUUUCCCAGCUCAGUCUUGGUUUGAUUGCCCGUCCUUCUUCUCGUUCACCCAGAGCUGCUGCUGCCUCUCUUCUUCCCUGAGGCGCACAGCAACAGCAACCCUGGUCACAUUUGGGUGGCCAAGCCUGUCGUGCCUGGGAAGCUUGGAAGCCAAUAUUCAGCUGGGUUGCUCUUUUGCCUGUUCUUUGGGGGUGGCUCACCCCAGCUCUGCUUUCCGAGAAAACAAGGCUGAACUUUGUUCAGCCAAAGCCCAAUUUCCCUGAGGUCUGCUGUUUGUUCCCCAGCCUGCCUCCCUCCAGCUGCUCCACUGUUGACCAGCCUCUCUCACACUUCUCUCUGCUUCCUCAGCUCCAGCACCUACUUCUUGGAAGGUGGCCAUAUGGGGCCCAGCAGAUGGAAUACAGGCCCUGUGCUGGCCAUGACCUGCUGGGCUUGACUUCACCACCAAGCGGGGUCGAGAAUGAGGACUGUCCUCCCCAAGGAUCCCGUCUGUCCUCCCAGCAGACAUCACCACCCUGACUCAAGAGGAAAAUGCCCUUGAUUUUCUAUAUUGUUCUGCCAUCAAAAUAUGGAUACAAAUAGAUAUUCCUUGCAGUUUACUCCUAAGCGCCGCUUGGGAGCCUCGACGGCCCACUAGCUUCUGGCUGCUCGCCAUCUUGGAAUCCUUCAUGUCACGCUGACUUGACUGUGUGUCAUGAUCCACAGUGACAAGCCUGCUUAGACCAGUGCUUCUAAGUGUCCCUGUCUUGAUGGAUUAGCUUGGCCAGGACAAGUUUACACAUCACUGGAGAAGUGUGAAGAGGGCGUGCGGAUGGAAAAAAUAGAGACGCAGGAAGAGGUUUAUAAUGUUUGAAAUUAUGCAGCCCAGCCCGGAACGUUCCAUAAAAACUUUCUCCUGGCUC